GUAAUCUUCCUGCUAAAUUUCUCCAAGUUGAUGAACUUUUGGAUUUUGAAAAGGUCUUGAUUAGUGAUGAAGAUCUGUCUAAGAAACUUAUUGCUCGUCUUUCAAGAGUUGGUGGAAUUACUUUGAAAAAAAAUAUUAAAUACAUCCUAGAAAGCCUGAUGUCACAAAAAGUUAUGGCUUGUUUCAACAUGAAAGGAACAAACCGCUAUGAAAAAAAAUCAGACACACAAGAUAAAUUAAGUUUCGAAAAAUUAAAAAUUUACGAGCUUA
rnacentral:lncRNA from 1 species